rnacentral:lncRNA from 1 species
AUUUAUACUCCAGUUUCAGUUCCGUUGAUUCAAAGUUUUGGGACUUAGGACAAGUUUGCUAGCUUCUCUGAGCCUCAGUUUUUUAAACCGUUAAAUAGGAAUAACAGCAUGCUGAGUGCCAAGAAUUAAAGAAAAAUUUAUGUGAAAAUAUAGAUUAGAAAGAAAACUAAUAUAAAUGCAGGGGAUUAUGAUCAUAAUACUCAUAAAACUUCAGUACUCCCUGGGAAGAUCCAAUGGCCGUCAGUCAUGUGCACGUGAUCAGAAUCUGGGCCAUCAUAUUUUUUUAAGCAAGUUGAUGGCCUGAGGGUUCUUGGCCAGGUGGGAGGAGGCUGCUCUGGGAUGUUGAAGAGAGAUUUUAAAAAGGAGAUGGAAGGCUGUGAAAACAUAGUUCAAAUUGGAGGGAGCUUGGGCAGAUACCACCUUUUCUUUUAAGGAAUGAAUUUGACUUUUGCUGAUGGAGCCUCUCUGAAGGGCAAAUUCAAAGUACAGCUGGGUGCUGCAGCACUGGAGUGCGAACUUGUGGCUGUGGUUAUGAAGGAGCCUCGUCAGCUAUGCCUUUAGCCCCUGGUGAAGCAGUGCCAGUCACACUUUGCCAGUCAAACGGAGAGGCAGCAGUAGUAAGACCAGACCAAAUCAAACCAAACCAAGCAAACCACGGGGAAUGGAGAGAUGGGGGUGUGAAAGGAAAUGAAAUCUUGGGACCCUAAACUCAUUAAGCCAAAGGGAAAAGCUGGGCCGAGAACUGGAUGAUGCAACCUGCUUCCACCUUUUUGCUUCCUAAAUAAGAUGGCUACA